rnacentral:lncRNA from 1 species
UCUUCAAGCCAGCUUCUUUCCAGUUGCGAUGUGGGUAGCCAUACAUGGUAGGGAGACAUGGCAGGGCUUGGUAGGUUGUACGGCCACGGGCAUAGGUCUGCAGGAACAGCUGCUUGUAGGGUCCAAAGUUAGUUACUCCCACCUGAUCAUGGAGGAGUCUCAUUGCUGUCUCAAAGGAACCUGCCAGAAUGUGGUCAACAGGAAGCUGUGAAUUGUUACACCAUACCUGAGCCGGGCUGGUGCCCUUGGUGGGUGGCACAAAGAAGCCAUCUUCUGCUCCUCCUGCUGGACCAGCAGGAACAUCCAGUUCAGGAGGAAGAUCCAAAUCUUCUUCAACUUCCCAUCCACCUCCUUCUUCCUGUCCUUUACCCAGACCUUCCUCUCCAAAGCCUUCUCCAGCAUCUACAAAGCCAUCUUCAUCAAGCUGUAAUUCUGCAUCUUCUCCCCAGCCUUCAGUACCGACAUUGUCAAUAUCUAUGUCAGCAGCCAAGGCACCCCCUUUGCCUAAAAGAAAGAUAGGGUUACUCAUUUACUCAUCUGAGUCAGGAAUUAAGAAAAUAAUUGCCAAAACUCAUCUUAUAUUAAGAAGACAAAGAUUUUUAGAUUUGCCAAGGACAGUGUAAAUACUAACUCUGAAUUCCAAAAAAAAAAAAAAUCUAUAGAUGUGUUACCUGUAGUAACAACAAAUCUGUGGUUUAACAGCAAUACCUCAGAAG